GGGCCCGCACAAGCAGUGGAGCAUGUGGUUUAAUUCGAUGCAACGCGAAGAACCUUACCAGGGUUUGACAUCCUGCGAAUUUCUGGGAAACCGGAAAGUGCCUUCGGGAGCGCAGUGACAGGUGGUGCAUGGCUGUCGUCAGCUCGUGUCGUGAGAUGUUGGGUUAAGUCCCGCAACGAGCGCAACCCACGUCUUUAGUUGCCAGCAUUUAGUUGGGCACUCUAGAGAGACUGCCGGUGAUAAACCGGAGGAAGGUGUGGAUGACGUCAAGUCAUCAUGCCCCUUACAUCCUGGGCUACACACGUACUACAAUGCUACGGACAAAGGGCAGCAAACUCGCGAGAGCUAGCAAAUCUCAUAAACCGUGGCUCAGUUCAGAUCGUAGGCUGCAACUCGCCUACGUGAAGGAGGAAUCGCUAG
rnacentral:rRNA from 1 species